UGGAGCGUGUGGUUUAAUUCGAAGCAACGCGCAGAACCUUACCAGGUCUUGACAUCCCCUGACAGCCUCAGAGAUGAGGUGUUCUGGUUUCCAGACAGGGAGACAGGUGUUGCAUGGUUGUCGUCAGCUCGUGUCGUGAGAUGUUGGGUUAAGUCCCGCAACGAGCGCAACCCCCGUUCUGUGUUGCCAGCGUAAAGUCGGGCACUCACAGGAGACUGCCGGAGACAAUUCGGAGGAAGGUGGGAUGACGUCAAAUCCUCAUGGCCCUUAUGACCUGGGCUACACACGCGCUACAAUGGCCUGUACAGAGGGAAGCGAAAGAGCGAUCUGGAGCGAAUCUCACAAAACAGGUCUCAGUUCAGAUCGAAGUCUGCAACUCGACUUCGUGAAGGCGGAAUUGCUAGUAAUCGCGAAUCAGCCAUGUCGCGGUGAAUACGUUCCCGGGGUUU
rnacentral:rRNA from 2 species